ensembl:lncRNA
GUAAGGGCGGAACUGAAAAAGUGACGGAGAUUGGUUCCGCCCGGACCAUAAUUCUCAAACAUCGGUUACUUCCGGGAACUCCGGGAAAGGAAAUCAGGGUUUCAUGGAUCGCAGGUGGAUAGAUGAGCGGGGCGAUCGCGGAUUGGGCAGUGUGAAGAGAAGGAGGAGUAUAAAGAGGGCCUCAGAAACUGCAGAGGGGGAGUUUUUAUUCUAGCCAAUACGGCGAGUGAGUUGGAGUGUUUGGGCGAGUGCAGCGGAAAGAAGGCGGAGGAUAUUGUUGGCUGGGCGAAGAUGGAGACAAGGGUUUGGCAGAAACAGAAACCGGGCUGAGUAUAUUGGGAUGUCUACCUAACUGUGAAAUGCUCUAUGGACAUGUGUAACAAAUUCUGAGUGGUUAAAAACAGGAAGACUCACUGGAAGUAUCGCCGAAGGAGGCCCUUUCGACAGGUCACGUGGGAGCAGGAGAAGUAUCCAGGAGCUGGAAAGAAGAGGGAAAAGAGACCUCGUGUUACCUUUUUGUGAGUUUGUGGCAUAGUAUGUGAGCAGCCCCACCGUGGAGGAGGAUUGUGGGUGAGCCGGGACCAGUGAGCGAGAGAAGACGUUGUGGUGUCGUGGCGGCGACGUUUAAAUCUGAAUAUUCGUUGCAUCAGUGUCUCCAUGAUUUCCAGGACGAGUCUUUGGUCAGACGGGGUUUUGACCCUAAAUUCACCAAGAGUGUGUGGAGUGCAGUGGGCCCGACGAAAUCCUGGAAGGAAGUGAGUACUGAGGCGGGCGAAGAAAACAUCUCCAAUUAUAUGCCGUCGAUGACAUCCUGACCCUUCUUCCCCACGUGACGGUGGCGGGAAACAAUUUCAAAUCUCUUGCCCUGUCGGUUGGAAGAAAGAAGAGGGAAGCGUUCGACCCAUUCAGUGUAGCACACCCCGGGUGAAACAACUUACCUGUGUGUGACACCAGUGGAGGCCGUGUUCGGCCCAACGCAGCAGCAGCUUUCGAUCCGCAUCUCUAUCAGCAGUUGGUUGAAGCCUCAGAAAAGGAAUGCCUGACGUCUAUUUCCUCAAAGAUCUAGCGGGUCCCUUUGAAGCGUCUACCUGCACGUUGACCCGUCACUCAGGAUACAGAAACCGCGGAAACCCCCCC